rnacentral:lncRNA from 1 species
AGUCCAAUAGGCAUGCCUCUGCCAAGCCAAACUCCAGGACAUUCACUUACGCCACCGCCAUCACUUUCAUCACAUGGAUCCUCAUCCAGUUUGCAUUUAGGAGGCCUGACAAAUGGUAGUGGUCGGUACAUCUCUGCAGCACCUGGAGCGGAAGCAAAGUACCGGAGCGCUUCCAGCACUUCCAGCCUGUUCAGCUCCAGCAGCCAGCUCUUUCCUCCCUCUCGGCUCCGCUAUAACAGAUCUGAUAUCAUGCCCUCUGGCCGCAGCAGGCUAUUGGAAGAUUUCAGGAACAACCGCUUCCCCAACCUCC